UGGGGAAUCAUGGUCAAUGGGCGAAAGCCUGAACCUGCGACGCCGCGUGAGCGAUGAAGGUCGUAAGAUCGUAAAACUCUUUUCAGGGAUCUUAAAGCACAACCGUCAACAACGGCUGUGUGUGACCCUCCCUGGAAGAAGCCCCAGCCAACUACGUGCCAGCAGCUGCGGUAAUACGUAGGGGGCGAGCGUUAUUCGGAAUUACUGGGUCUAAAGGGUAUGUAGGCGGCCCUUCAAGUCGCGUGUCAAAGUCCAGUGCUCAACGCUGGGUGUGCGCGCGAUACUUACGGGCUUGAGGGCUGGAGAGGUGAGCGGAAUUCCCGGUGUAGUGGUAAAAUACGUAGAGAUCGGGAGGAACACCAGCGGCGCAGGCGGCUCACUAGACAGUUUCUGACACUAAGAUACGAAAGCGUGGGGAGCAAACA
rnacentral:rRNA from 1 species